UACGUAGGGGGCGAGCGUUGUCCGGAAUCAUUGGGCGUAAAGCGCGUGUAGGCGGCUCGAUAAGUCCGCUCUGAAAGCCCGGGGCUCAACCCCGGGAGGCGGGCGGAAACUGUCGGGCUAGAGUCCGGAAGAGGCGAGUGGAAUUCCCGGUGUAGCGGUGAAAUGCGCAGAUAUCGGGAGGAACACCAAUGGCGAAGGCAGCUCGCUGGGACGUGACUGACGCUGAGACGCGAAAGCGUGGGGAGCAAACAGG
rnacentral:rRNA from 1 species